AAUGCACACACCACGUGGGCCUUCUUGCCAGCAAGCAGCCACAGUAGCAGCCCCAUCAGUACUGUGGCAUUUUGGAGUUACCUUUUACAUUUCCCACAAUGCCCUGGAGUGACGCUACAUUGGGGAAAGACUCCAGAGCAUUGUAGGAAAGGUAAAUGGUGCCAUACUGCUCAGAGUGUCACAAAAGAAGGGCCCCCAUCAGCAAUGGGCCUAGGCAGCUGCCCAGAAAUGCCUAUUGCGUCUUCUGAUCUUGAUGUGGAAUUGCAGGUAGGCGAACUUUCUCUUAAUCUAACCUCCGGUCAAUGUGGGAAGACAGGAGAUCGCCUAACCUGACAAGGCAGUGGGUGAGACACCAGCCACCUUAGCACCAGAGCAGAGGGCUAACAUUUCGGAUUUAAAAGUAUAGUGGACAAUGAGUAAGGAAAAGUAAAAAUGAAACGUUGGUUGCUGUGCCAGCGUUUGCCUCUGCCACCUCCAAAUGGGAUGUAGAUCCUGAAAUGUUGCCCAGAAAGGAUUGUGACUUUGAGCUGCUGAACAUGAGCAAACACGUCAAAUGACCAAGCUAUUGUUAUCAGCUGUGGGCAACAAGGAAUUUGGUGACGUACACCUGCUGAAGUAUUAUUUAUUUACUGAGCUAUAUCUUGCCUUCCCUCCCUCGAGGAGCCCAGGGAGGCAAAUAGAUACACAAGUUAAAAAGUUUUGUAUUCACGGAAUUAAUAUCAUGGCUAGUUUAGCCUUUCCUUUUGUCCAGACGGGAGAUAUACUUCAUUACUUUCUUACACUUGGUUCCUGUGGAAUUAUUGCCUUUUCUUUGUUCUAUGUUCCAUUAUAAACCAACUUGUUUGCUUCCAACCUGACUGUUUAGACGUUAUGCAAAGUGGGAAUUGUCUUAUUUGUUGCAAAAGGACUUCCCUGCAUCCUUUCCCAGAUCAGCUGAAGAACUGGAAAAAUACACACCCAUAUAUUUCAUUACAAGGGCAAAGAGUGAUUUUCCCAUCUCCGAAAAAGAAAGAAAGAAUUCACACUAUGUCCUUUGUUUCUUAAUAUUCCUUCUUGAAAAUUUACUUGGAGUUUGUACUGCCAAAGAGUAUCACAGAACUAUAUGUCCAAACCGAGUAAAACAUGGAGUGCUAUCUAGAGCACACUAUAUCAGUCUGAAGAAAUUGGCACUCCCUUGUGAACGCUACGUGUUCCUUUCUUAUCUUGCUGGUACAGAUCUCAGGCUUUUUAGUUUUCACAAUGACAUUUAAGUACAUGUCACAGCCCUGUGGAUAGUUUAGAAACAGGGUGGGGAAAACAGGGCAAGAAGGAUUCUGAUGUACUGGAGUUCAAGAACAAGGCAAUUUUGCCACACAUGAACACCAGAAUUUGCUGUUGCUAAAGUAUAUCAGUAUGUGGACAGAGAAUCUACCAUACCCAAUUCCCAGGACUCCAGGUGGUUUACAACAUGCUUCAAAAAAGUUACCAUGUUUGUCCACCAACUUACAAUACCACCAUCCUCAUCAUUGGACAUACUGUACAGCCCUCCCCAGGUACUGACUGCCAGACCCAAACUAAAAAGUCUGGCAAUGCUUCCACAAGAUGCUCAACUCUGGCAAGCUUCUAAGGUUUCCAUAAUUGUGGGGUGCUCCCAAUAAUACUUCUCUGUGUAUCCUCAACAUUUGGGCAGCUCACGGGUGGCAUGGUGAGAUGUCUGGGCCACAGGUGAGGAAGCUAGCCAUUUUAGCAUAUUAGGCAUUUAAUGCUUUAUAGAAUACCCCCAGCACACUGAUCAGACAAAGACAGAGAACAAGAACAGAACAGAACAGCACAAAACCCAUGUGCUUGCAGCAGCCAAACUCUAGGGCCACAUUCUGCACUAGCUGCAGCUUUUAAACCAGAGGUUGCCAGUGUGAUACCUGGAGGCAGCAGUGUGCCUGCCGGAACUUUCUAUGGUGCCUGCAAAUUGUUGCUGGCAUCUGCUUCAAGAGACAAUGGAGAAGUGCACUUUUGGAGGCAAGAUCAAGCUGUUGGACAGUUGCAGUACCUGCUGUGGCUGUAGAUACCAAUGUGGGAGAGACAUGUUUUGUUGCAGCUGGGGCAGAGGAAGGCAUCUGGUUGUGCUGCCGCAGAUGCACCGUGGCGUUUCUUAUCUCUGCGCUCUUCCCAGCAGUCAUUUCUCCUCUGUUCACUCCUAUGGGUACACAACUUGACUGCCAGUCUCUAGGCACUUCAGUUGUCUGCAAGGGAUUCCCACACGGUAGGGUUGAUGUUGCCAGCCUUUACGUUAUGUUUGCAGACAUAUUUGUAGCUUACAGUUGGUCUGCCAAUUGACCAGGUACCUGAAGCCAGCUCCCCAUAGAGCAGGGGUCAGCAGCCUUUUUCAGCCGUGGGCCAGUCCACCGUCCCUCAGACCAUGUGGUGGGCUGGACUAUUUUUGGGGGGGGGAGGGGGUAUGAACCAAUCCCUAUGCCCUACAAAUAACCCAGAGGUGCAUUUUAAAUAAAAGGGCACAUUCUACUCAUGUAAAAACACGCUGAUUCCCAGACCGUCUGCGGGCCGGAUUGAGAAGGCGAUUGGGCCAGAUCCGGCCCCCGGGCCUUAGGUUGCCUACCCCUGCCAUACAGCAUGUCUUUGGGGAUCCUGCCAUCUUCCAUUCUGUGGACAUGAUCAUGCCAGCGUAGACGUCACUGAGACAGGCCUCAGUAAAUCUCCCCUCAAAAAUCUGCAGUGAACAAGAGACUGUUUAUUCUUGCUGUUCAGCUCCUCUUUGUACAGGCUCAGCCUCUCCUACAUUGAAUAUGUCCCCUUAAACAUGCCCACAUUUCAUUGGAUGCCAGGAUCAGACACCCUUCCACCUGUUCUGAACAGAGUAGAAAUGCAAAGAGCUUCUCUCUAUGGAUGAUGGUGACUGAUAUAUUUGCUUUUUCCUGCAUCAAUUGGAGCUGGGGAUGCUCACAGCAUUUUGUGCUCAUCUCUUUUUCUGUUCUUGUAGAUAUGGCCGCCAUUUUGUUCAUACCCCAUGGCAGCCAUUUUGUGUUAUGUCAUUCCCUCAUGGCAGCUGGCAUUUUGUGGCUGCCACCCAUUAUGCCUUCUCAAAAAUCCAAAUUUGUCCACUGGUCCAAAGAGGUUUGCCACCUCUUAUCUAAAAAUUAAUGAAGGGCAGCCCAAUGUAGGAGUUCCCAGGACAGAAGGUAGAUAAGCUCUCCAUAAAUUUCCUAGCUUUUGUCCAGAGUCUCAUUAUGGCAUUCUUUGUACUAUGAACACAUAAACUUAUUUUAAAUCAAAAUCAUCUGAAAUGUUCUUCAGUUAAAUUGCUACCCACAUAACACAAUUAUACAUUUUGAGAGAAAGAAAGAAUAAAAUCUAAACUCCUACCCUUUAAAUAUGCUUCAUUUUAGGUGCAGAAAUGUGAGAUAACUAAGCCAAGCAACACUGUCAUGCUGCCUGCAUGAACUGCACAAAAUGUUCAGAUCUAUUACUUCUUUUCUUCUCCCCCUUCCUGACUAGUGGGAUCCUCAUGUGCUUGCUGUAGAUCUGUGACAAAAGUCUAAUAGAAAAGCGAAGAUAAAGCCUGGACUUUUCAAGGUGAGACAAAACGACUCAUGACCCACAUCUUCAGAACCGCAGUUAAUGGCGAUAAUGAACACUCCGUGGGACAGCAAGCAUUUGAAACUGGAUCAAUUGCUAAGCAAACUGAACAGCCUAGCAAAGGGGGGGGGAGUGAGCAUAAUACUGCAGAAUCUUCAAUAGCACAAAAGAAAUCCACACGCUUUGACAGCAACCAAACAAGUUUCUGGAUAAUGAAAUUGAACAUUUGCAGAUCUUAUCAGUGCAGAAAAUGGAUUAUUGGGUGCGGUGGAGAGGUGGG
rnacentral:lncRNA from 1 species